rnacentral:tRNA from 2 species
GCCCUCGUAGCUCAGGGGAUAGAGCGUUGGUUUCCGGUACCAAAGGUCAGAGGUUCGAUUCCUCUCGGGGGCACCA